CAAAGAUUAAGCCAUGCAUGUCUAAGUACAUACUUUUACAUAGUGAAACCGCGAAUGGCUCAUUAAAUCAGUUAUGGUUCCUUAGAUCGUACAAUCCUACUUGGAUAACUGUGGUAAUUCUAGAGCUAAUACAUGAAACAAACCGCUCCGACCUCGCGGAAGGAGCGCGUUUAUUAGAUCAAAACCAGUCGGGUGUCAAAGCCCGCAAAUUGGCGAAGCUGGAUAACUUUGUGCUGAUCGCACGGCCUCGCGCCGGCGACGUAUCUUUCAAAUGUCUGACCUAUCAACUUUCGAUGGUACGUGAUAUGCCUACCAUGGUUAUAACGGGUAACGGGGAAUCAGGGUUUGGCUCCGGAGAGGGAGCAUGAGAAACGGCUACCACAUCC
rnacentral:rRNA from 1 species